UGAACGCUAGCUACAGGCUUAACACAUGCAAGUCGAGGGGCAGCAUGAACAUAGCUUGCUAUGUUUGAUGGCGACCGGCGCACGGGUGCGUAACACGUAUCCAAUCUACCCAUGGCUCGGGGAUAGCCUUUCGAAAGAAAGAUUAAUACCCGAUGGUCUCGGUUUAAGGCAUCUUAGACUGAGUAAAGAUUUAUCGGCGAUGGAUGAGGAUGCGUCUGAUUAGGUAGAUGGCGGGGUAACGGCCCACCUAGUCUACGAUGUCUAGGGGUUCUGAGAGGAAGGUCCCCCACACUGGAACUGAGACACGGUCCAGACUCCUACGGGAGGCAGCAGUGAGGAAUAUUGGUCAAUGGGCGCAAGCCUGAACCAGCCAAGUAGCGUGAAGGAUGACUGCCCUACGGGUUGUAAACUUCUUUUGUUUGGGAAUAAAUGAUACUACGUGUAGUAUUUUGCAUGUACCUUACGAAUAAGCAUCGGCUAAUUCCGUG
rnacentral:rRNA from 1 species